GUAGGGAAUAUUGCGCAAUGGGGGAAACCCUGACGCAGCGACGCCGCGUGAGUGAUGAAGGCCUUCGGGUCGUAAAGCUCUGUUGCAGGGGAAUAAAAAAAUGAAGGUACCCUGUGAGGAAGGAUCGGCUAACUUCGUGCCAGCAGCCGCGGUAAGACGAGGGAUACUAGCGUUGCUCGGAAUCAUUGGGCGUAAAGAGGGCGUAGGUGGCUUGGUAAGUCAGGUGUGAAAGCCCAGGGCUCAACCAUGGAAGUGCAUUUGAUACUGCUGAGCUUGAGUGUCGGAAAGGUUACCGGAAUACCUGGUGUAGUGGUGAAAUACGUAGAUAUCAGGUGGAACACCGGAGGCGAAGGCGGGUAACUGGACGAACACUGACACUGAGGCCCGAAAGCGUGGGGAUCAAACAGGAUUAGAUACCCGAGUAGUCC
rnacentral:rRNA from 1 species